UGCAAGUCGAACGGUAACAGGCCGCAAGGUGCUGACGAGUGGCGAACGGGUGAGUAAUACAUCGGAACGUGCCCGAUCGUGGGGGAUAACGCAGCGAAAGCUGUGCUAAUACCGCAUACGAUCUACGGAUGAAAGCGGGGGAUCGCAAGACCUCGCGCGGACGGAGCGGCCGAUGGCAGAUUAGGUAGUUGGUGGGGUAAAGGCCUACCAAGCCGACGAUCUGUAGCUGGUCUGAGAGGACGACCAGCCACACUGGGACUGAGACACGGCCCAGACUCCUACGGGAGGCAGCAGUGGGGAAUUUUGGACAAUGGGCGCAAGCCUGAUCCAGCCAUGCCGCGUGCAGGAUGAAGGCCUUCGGGUUGUAAACUGCUUUUGUACGGAACGAAAAGGUUUCUUUUAAUACAGGGAACUGAUGACGGUACCGUAAGAAUAAGCACCGGCUAACUACGUGCCAGCAGCCGCGGUAAUACGUAGGGUGCGAGCGUUAAUCGGAAUUACUGGGCGUAAAGCGUGCGCAGGCGGUGAUGUAAGACAGAGGUGAAAUCCCCGGGCUCAACCUGGGAACUGCCUUUGUGACUGCAUCGCUGGAGUGCGGCAGAGGGGGAUGGAAUUCCGCGUGUAGCAGUGAAAUGCGUAGAUAUGCGGAGGAACACCGAUGGCGAANGCAAUCCCCUGGGCCUGCACUGACGCUCAUGCACGAAAGCGUGGGGAGCAAACANGAUUAGAUACCCUGGUAGUCCACGCCCUAAACGAUGUCAACUGGUUGUUGGGAAUUAGUUUUCUCNNUAACGAAGCUAACNCGUGAAGUUGACCGCCUGGGGAGUANGGNCGCAAGGUUGAAACUCAAAGGAAUUGANGGGNNCCGCACNAGCGGUGGAUGAUGUGGUUUAANUCGAUGCAACGCGAAAACCUUACCCACCUUUGANNUGUANGNAANCCUUUNNAGNUAGAGNNNUGCUCGAANNANNANNCCGUANNNCNNNGCUGCANGGCUNUCNUCAGCUNNNNUCNNGANAUGNUGGGNNAAGUCCCG
rnacentral:rRNA from 1 species